rnacentral:rRNA from 1 species
AUACGGAGGGUGCAAGCGUUAAUCGGAAUUAUUGGGCGUAAAGGGCGCGCAGGCGGCCUGGCAAGUCAAAGGUGAAAUCCCUCGGCCCAACCGAGGAACUGCCUUUGAAACUGCCUGGCUCGAGGCCGGGAGAGGGUAGUGGAAUUCCCAGUGUAGCGGUGAAAUGCGUAGAUAUUGGGAGGAACACCAGUGGCGAAGGCGACUACCUGGACCGGUUCUGACGCUGAGGUGCGAAAGCGUGGGGAGCAAACAGGAUUAGAAACCCCGGUAGUCC